GACGAACGCUGGCGGCGUGCUUAACACAUGCAAGUGGAGCGACGAACCGGGGCUUGCCCCGGGGCAGAGCCGCGAACGGGUGAGUAACACGUGGGUUACCUGCCCCAAUGACCGGGACAACCCGAGGAAACUCGGGCUAAUACCGGAUGUGGUCUUCGGACGAAAGGAAGCUUUUAAUAGCCUCCGCAUUGGGAUGGGCCCGCGGCGCAUUAGCUUGUUGGUGGGGUAACGGCCUACCAAGGCGACGAUGCGUAGCUGGUCUGAGAGGACGAUCAGCCACACUGGGACUGAGACACGGCCCAGACUCCUACGGGAGGCAGCAGUGGGGAAUCUUGCGCAAUGCGCGAAAGCGUGACGCAGCAACGCCGCGUGGGGGAAGAAGGCCUUCGGGUUGUAAACCUCUUUCAGUUGGGACGAGGGUCACGCCGUUAAUAGCGGUGUUGGCUGACGGUACCUUCAGAAGAAGCCCCGGCUAACUACGUGCCAGCAGCCGCCG
rnacentral:rRNA from 1 species